AUUGGGCAUAAAAGUUCGACACGUGAAUGUCAAUGUUGUCAUCACAAGACAAGGGGAACAACUCAGCUUGUGAAAACAGUUCAAAAUAGCUCUGAGGGUUUUCUGUGGCUCUAAAGGCAGCGUAGUCAAGAGAGAAGAGAUUGAGCUUGGAGUACAUCAAACUUUUCUGCAAAAUGUUCCAGCUGGUGAAGCAGGGCUGCGGCUCCUGCUCUCCUGGCCACGCCCACAGCACAGUCAUGUGACCGCCAUCCCAAGUGGCUUGGAAGGCAUUCGGCGGCCACACCCCUCAUUCAGAGAAAGUCAAUGGAGAACAUUGUGGACGCAGAAAAGCUAUCUUGAGCCAUGUCAUAUUAAGUAAACCCACUAGAAGAAGA